AGCGAACGCUGGCGGCAGGCCUAACACAUGCAAGUCGAACGAACUCUUCGGAGUUAGUGGCGGACGGGUGAGUAACACGUGGGAACGUGCCUUUAGGUUCGGAAUAACUCAGGGAAACUUGUGCUAAUACCGAAUGUGCCCUUCGGGGGAAAGAUUUAUCGCCUUUAGAGCGGCCCGCGUCUGAUUAGCUAGUUGGUGAGGUAAAGGCUCACCAAGGCGACGAUCAGUAGCUGGUCUGAGAGGAUGAUCAGCCACAUUGGGACUGAGACACGGCCCAAACUCCUACGGGAGGCAGCAGUGGGGAAUCUUGCGCAAUGGGCGAAAGCCUGACGCAGCCAUGCCGCGUGAAUGAUGAAGGUCUUAGGAUUGUAAAAUUCUUUCACCGGGGACGAUAAUGACGGUACCCGGAGAAGAAGCCCCGGCGAACUUCGU
rnacentral:rRNA from 1 species